GAUGAACGCUGGCGGCGUGCCUAAUACAUGCAAGUCGAGCGAACGGACGAGAAGCUUGCUUCUCUGAUGUUAGCGGCGGACGGGUGAGUAACACGUGGAUAACCUACCUAUAAGACUGGGAUAACUUCGGGAAACCGGAGCUAAUACCGGAUGAUAUUUUGAACCGCAUGGUUCAAAAGUGAAAGACGGUCUUGCUGUCACUUAUAGAUGGAUCCGCGCUGCAUUAGCUAGUUGGUAAGGUAACGGCUUACCAAGGCAACGAUGCAUAGCCGACCUGAGAGGGUGUUCGGCCACACUGGACCGGAGACACGGUCCAGACUCCUACGGGAGGCAGCAGUAGGGAAUCUUCCGCAAUGGGCGAAGGCCUGACGGAGCAACGCCGCGUGAGUGAUGAAGGUCUUCGGAUCGUAAAACUCUGUUAUUAGGGAAGAACAUAUGUGUAAGUAACUGUGCACAUCUUGACGGUACCUAAUCAGAAAGCCACGGCUAACUACGUG
rnacentral:rRNA from 1 species